AUUGAACGCUGGCGGCAGGCCUAUCACAUGCAAGUCGUGCGAGCGGCGGACGGGUGAGCAAUGUAUGGGCAUCUGCCUGAUGGCGGGGGAUAACUACUGGUAACGGUUGCUAACACCGCAUCCCACCUGAUGAACCCAUAUGGGAUUAGCUUGUAGGUGGGGUAACGGCUCACCCAGGCCAUGAUCCCUAGCUGGUCUGAGAGGAUGAUCAGCCACACUGGGACUGAGACACGGCCCAGACUCCUACGGGAGGCAGCAGUGGGGAAUAUUGCACAAUGGGCGCAAGCCUGAUGCAGCCAUGCCGCGUGUAUGAAGAAGGCCUUCGGGUUGUAAAGUACUUUCAGUCGGAAGGCGUUACCGACAGAAGAAGCACCGGCUAACUCCGUGCCAGCAGCCGCGGUAAUUC
rnacentral:rRNA from 1 species